GGUUGACAGUUUAACUCUGAGUCGUCCUAAACACAGGGGUCAAAAGGAUGAAUUAUACAGUAACCAUAUUCACAUAGGUUCUGAGUGUUGCGAUUGUAAUUUUUCGAUCUAUCCGGAUGUCGGGUACCAUUGCUAGAUGGUCACUUCGAUUAGUACAGGAAUUGAUUCCUGUGCUACCGGCUUAGGUUCGAACCUGCGGGGUCACACACAUUAGAGGUUU
rnacentral:lncRNA from 1 species